AGUGAAUAGAUACCCGGGUAGUCCACGCCGUAAACGAUGAGUGCUAAGUGUUAGGGGGUUUCCGCCCCUUAGUGCUGCAGCUAAACGCAUUAAGCACUCCGCCUGGGGAGUACGGUCGCAAGACUGAAACUCAAAGGAAUUGACGGGGGCCCGCACAAGCGGUGGAGCAUGUGGUUUAAUUCGAAGCAACGCGAAGAACCUUACCAGGUCUUGACAUCCCGUUGACCACUGUAGAGAUAUGGUUUUCCCUUCGGGGACAACGGUGACAGGUGGUGCAUGGUUGUCGUCAGCUCGUGUCGUGAGAUGUUGGGUUAAGUCCCGCAACGAGCGCAACCCUUGAUCUUAGUUGCCAUCAUUUAGUUGGGCACUCUAAGGUGACUGCCGGUGACAAACCGGAGGAAGGUGGGGAUGACGUCAAAUCAUCAUGCCCCUUAUGACCUGGGCUACACACGUGCUACAAUGGACGAUACAAACGGUUGCCAACUCGCGAGAGGGAGCUAAUCCGAUAAAGUCGUUCUCAGUUCGGAUUGUAGG
rnacentral:rRNA from 1 species